AAUAGACCCUUAUUGAUUUACUUUUGUUGUGACACAGGACCCGAGAUUGUCGAGCAUCGUUCCACUCAAGUCGGCCCGCACACUUGAGUUCUGAAUUGAGGUAAAGGGAAGGCAAAGGUUGAGCAGCCAUGUGUUCGACGUCGUAGCAGCAAUGUACAUAUCAACCGCAGUGGCACGACCCAGUGAAUAGAAUGCUCUAUUUUGAAUGUAUUUUGGGAAUGCAAAGUUUAUGUUGUAAAAAAAACACUAUUAAACCAGUUUGUAAAUAUUUUAAAAACAGGGGGACCCCGUAGUUAAUAUUACUUAUCUUUUAUCAUAAAGCAGUUUUUA